AGUGGUCACAGCCACUAUAAACAGGGCUUUAAGCUGUGAGCGUUCCCACUCUUACUGGGUGGGAGAUAGUC
rnacentral:ribozyme from 1 species